GGGACUGUGGCAUAGUGGUAAAGUGCUUGCCUAGCAUGCAUGAAGCCCUGGGUUCGAUUCCUCAGUACCA
rnacentral:tRNA from 1 species